UAGCUAGUUGGUGGGGUAAGGGCCUGCCAAGGCGACGAUCGGUAGCUGGUCUGAGAGGAUGACCAGCCACACUGGAACUGAGACACGGUCCAGACUCCUACGGGAGGCAGCAGUGGGGAAUAUUGGACAAUGGGGGCAACCCUGAUCCAGCAAUGCCGCGUGUGUGAAGAAGGCCUGAGGGUUGUAAAGCACUUUCAGUGGGGAGGAGGGUUGAUAGGUUAAGAGCUAAUUAACUGGACGUUACCCACAGAAGAAGCACCGGCUAACUCCGUGCCAGCAGCCGCGGUAAUACGGAGGGUGCGAGCGUUAAUCGGAAUUACUGGGCGUAAAGGGUGCGUAGGUGGUUGAUUAAGUUAUCUGUGAAAUUCCUGGGCUUAACCNGGGACGGUCAGAUAAUACUGGUUGACUCGAGUAUGGGGGAGGGUAGUGGAAUUUCCGGUGUAGCGGUGAAAUGAGUAGAGAUCGGAAGGAACACCAGUGGCGAAGGCGGCUACCUGGCCUAAUACUGACGCUGAGGCACGAAAGCGUGGGGAGCAAACAGGAUUAGAUACCCUGGUAGUCCACGCUGUAAACGAUGUCAACUAGCUGUUGGUUAUAUGAAAAUAAUUAGUGGCGC
rnacentral:rRNA from 1 species